GCCAAUGUAGCUCAGGGGUAGAGCACUUCCAUGGUAAGGAAGGGGUCGGGGGUUCAAUUCCCUUCAUUGGCUCCA
rnacentral:tRNA from 2 species